rnacentral:lncRNA from 1 species
AUGCUUGUGUAUAGAGGAAGAUUUGCUGGUUUGUUUCAUUCAUAUGGUUUGUUUAAUUUGUUUGCACAGACAGACAGUAUCGUGUGGUACUCCCAUCCUGCACGUAGAGUUGAAAUCAUCUGUAAGUUCAGAAUACUGGACAUAUUCCUUCCCCUGGCCUGUCUAAGGAUGGUGAAUUUGGAAAGUACUUCUUCAGUUAAAUAUCGUAAUUACUUUCAAAAUUAUGACUUCAAAAUGAUGCAGUUUGCUAUUGUUGUCCAGGGUCUGAAGUUCUACGAAUACUUAGAAAUAAUGGUAAUUCCUCUACGGAGAAUGACACCUGGGUAUAUAAGGUUGUUGCAGACUCAAGCUGCAGGAAAAAUAGUUAUCAACUCAUCGGACAUACUGCUGCAACGGACUGCCUUGCUCCUGGGCAUGUUUGGGAUCAGUCUCUCCAGCUACAGCACACACCAGUUGGCUCAACAGAAGAAACUUCCCGUGACCCUUUAAGCUGUGUUGGGAUGUGGCCCAAGAAAUAAAUGCGUGUGUCAGGAGUGCUGAUGAGUAGCU